rnacentral:lncRNA from 1 species
CUAAACUUGUUCAAAAUAGGUUUAUAGGCUCAACCAGCCCCAAAUUUCUUUUGCAGAGCUGGACAUUUCCUCUCAAAUCAAAGUAGGUGUAUUUUAUAGAGCAAGAUAGUGCACUAUAGGAUAAUCUUCACAAAUAUUCGUAAAAACUUUGUUUCACAAGAUAGAAACUAAGCCUAAGGAAACACACUGGCAUUCGAUUCUUAAAACUGAAAUUCCAACCAUAUAUCUUCCAUGAUCUUCAUUCAAUUUACCAAGCUAUUAACCAAAUCCAACAUGCAAUCACCUAAACUCUGAAAUGAAAACAUGCAGCUUCAAGAAUCUAGCAAAACUUUCUAAAAC